AGAGUUUGAUCCUGGCUCAGGACGAACGCUGGCGGCGUGCUUAACACAUGCAAGUCGAACGAUGAAGCCUAGCUUGCUAGGUGGAUUAGUGGCGAACGGGUGAGUAAUACGUGAGUGACCUACCUUUGACUCUGGGAUAAGCCUGGGAAACUGGGUCUAAUACCGGAUACGACCAAUCUCCGCAUGGGGUGUUGGUGGAAAGCGUUAUGGAGUGGUUUUAGAUGGGCUCACGGCCUAUCAGCUUGUUGGUGAGGUAAUGGCUUACCAAGGCGACGACGGGUAGCCGGCCUGAGAGGGUGACCGGCCACACUGGGACUGAGACACGGCCCAGACUCCUACGGGAGGCAGCAGUGGGGAAUAUUGCACAAUGGGCGCAAGCCUGAUGCAGCGACGCCGCGUGAGGGAUGACGGCCUUCGGGUUGUAAACCUCUGUUAGCAUCGAAGAAGCGAAAGUGACGGUAGGUGCAGAGGAAGCGCCGGCUAACUACGUGCCAGCAGCCGCGGUAAUACGUAGGGCGCGAGCGUUGUCCGGAAUUAUUGGGCGUAAAGAGCUUGUAGGCGGUUGGUCGCGUCUGCUGUGAAAGGCUGGGGCUUAACCCUGGUUUUGCAGUGGGUACGGGCUAACUAGAGUGCAGUAGGGGAGACUGGAAUUCCUGGUGUAGCGGUGGAAUGCGCAGAUAUCAGGAGGAACACCGAUGGCGAAGGCAGGUCUCUGGGCUGUAACUGACGCUGAGAAGCGAAAGCAUGGGGAGCGAACAGGAUUAGAUACCCUGGUAUUCCAUGCCGUAAACGUUGGGCACUAGGUGUGGGGGACAUUCCCCGUUUUCCGCGCCGUACCUAACGCAUUUAAUGGCCCGGCCGGGGAGUACGGCCGCCAGGGUAAAACUCAAAAAAAAUUGACGGGGGCCCGCACAACCGGCGGAGCAUGCGGAGGAAUGCCAUGCGACGCGAAGAGCCUUAGCAAGACUUGACAGUUAGUUGGCUGCGUCAGAUAUGGCACUUCCCUUCGGGACUGGUAGACAGGUGGCUCAUGUUGAUAGUCUCUUGGUGUAGUGUGAAGUUUGGUUAAGUCGCGCUACGAGCGCAACCCUAAUUGUACGUGGCCAGCACUGUGAUGGUGGGGAAUCACAGGAGUAGUGCCGGGGUCGACUCUGAGGUAGUGUAGGGGAUGUCGUGCAAAUCAUCAUGCCCU
rnacentral:rRNA from 1 species